rnacentral:misc_RNA from 1 species
ACCAUAUUUAUCGAUAAUAAUGGUCUGGAGCUGCUUCUUGGCCUGCUUGGUUCUUCAAGUCUCAAGCAGCAGCUUGAUGGUGCUGUUGCGCUGUACAAGCUGGCAAAUAAAGCCACGACUCUUUCUCCUGUGGAUGCUGCUCCACCAUCUCCAACACCACAGGUUUACCUCGGUGAGCAGUAUGUGAACAAUCCGACACUAUCUGAUGUGACUUUUCUUGUUGAAGGAAGACGCUUCCAUGCCCACAGAAUUUGCUUGCUUGCUUCUUCGGAUGCAUUCCGUGCCAUGUUUGAUGGUGGCUAUCGGGAGAAGGAUGCUAAGGAUAUAGAAAUUCCAAAUAUUAGAUGGGAAGUUUUUGAGCUAAUGAUGAGAUUUGUUUACACCGGAUCUGUGGAUGUUUUGUUGGAUAUUGCUCAAGAUCUCCUGAGAGCUGCCGAUCAGUAUCUCUUGGAGGGACUUAAACGAUUGUGCGAAUACACCAUUGCACAGGAUAUAUCAUUGGAAAAUGUUUCAAGCAUGUAUGAACUCUCAGAAGCCUUUAAUGCCAUAUCUUUGAGACACACGUGCAUCCUUUUUAUCUUGGAACAAUUUGAAAAACUCAGUGGAAUGCCAGGGCAUUCUCUUCUAAUUCAGCGCAUACUUCCCGAGAUCCGCAAUUAUUUUGCUAAAGCCCUGACCAAGGCUAAUCUCCAGAGCUCACGGCUGUAGAUGGCUGCACUGUUUCGUUAUUCAUCAUUGCUAACCAACAAACACGAUGUACAGAUAGUGGUAGAUUUGGUUGCUGCUGCCGGGCUAGAUUGAGGUUCGAAUUUAGCUGAUUUGUUUUAUGGCUCAUGAUCCUUUGAUUUUUUUCCCUCCCCCCCUAAUGGUAAGGGUUUUGAUAUUUUGUAUAAAGUCUUAAGUAAUACCAUUGCUAGAUAGAAUGACCUUAGUCCUUACGAGAAUCUUGUCCUUGAAAUGCAUUGCAUUUAUUUUAUGAAUUGAUGUAUCUUCCCG